CCUACGGGUGGCAGCAGUGGGGGAUAUUGCACAAUGGGGGAAACCCUGAUGCAGCGACGCCGCGUGAGUGAAGAAGUAUUUCGGUAUGUAAAGCUCUAUCAGCAGGGAAGAAAAUGACAGUACCUGACCAAGAAGCCCCGGCUAACUACGUGCCAGCAGCCGCGGUAAUACGUAGGGGGCAAGCGGUAUCCGGAUUUAUGGGUGGUAAAGGGGGCGUAGACGGUUAAGUAAGUCUGGAGGGAAAGCCCGGGGCCAUACCCCGGGUAUGCUUUGGAAAGUGUGUAACUGGAGUACAGGAGGGGAGGGCGGAAUUCCUGGUGUAGCGGUGAAAUGCGAAGAUAUCAGGAGGAACACCGGCGGCGAAGGCGGCCUGCUGGACUGAAACUGACGUUGAGGCUCGAAAGCGUGGGGAGCAAACAGGAUUAGAUACCCCUGUAGUC
rnacentral:rRNA from 1 species